UUAAUUAUAACUUUUUAAAAAAAAAAAUAUUGAAGAAAAUAGUGAAGAAGCCAAUUUUCGUAUAUGUCAAACAUUGUUACUAUUACCUCGAUUAAUUAGAACUGAUGAUAGUAAUACAUGUUUUAACGACAGAAGUAGCAGUUAUGAUAGCUGCCUUGUUUUUAUCAAACAUGAUUACAUUAGUUGACGUUUUUGAACAUGCUCAAUAUGUGGCUCAACAAGUGGAUCGACAAGUGGAUCAGUAUGUCGAUCGGUAUGUCGAAUCAGUGGAUGAUGGUGUUCGAAAUAAAGAGGACACUUAUAAGUGGCACAGAUGUGUAGUUAACAAUUGUAAUAAAAAGUAUUGCAUGAUGAGUAACGAAAGUAAUAAAAUGUACAAAGAAGAAUUAAAAAGAGAAGUAAAUAGUAACGAAGGUAGUACUAUAAAGACACAUAUUAGUAAUUAUGUAAAUAGACCAGUUAAUUAUUCAGAAAAUUUUUUUAAUUCAUUUGAAAUAAAUAGUUAUACAUAUAACAGUCAUGCCAGACAAAUAAACCACAAUAAGUAUACGAAUACGGACAAAAAUACGGACACGAAUAAGAAUAGUCUUGAACAUGAACAUGAACAUGUUAAUACAAAGAAAUACCAAUUAUUUUGCAAAUAUUGUGUUUUUUUUUUAAUAACAUAUACAUAAAAUUAUUUUUUUUAAAUUCUAAAAAAGAAAUAUCUAGUAUAAGUUAUGAUGAAUAUAAAACACAACAGUAUCACUAUAAUGACGCUACAUUAAUAACAUUUUUAAUAUUUACUUAUACUUUAUUUUUUAAUUGUUCAUGUAAUAGUAAUAUAUAUAUUGAUGAUAUAUUAAUAGAUGGAUUUUCUAUUGUUAGUUUUUUUAUUCGUAACAAAAAGUUUACUAUAAGAAGAGCUAGUUUCAAAUUAUUUUAUCACAUGGUUAAUUUCAUUUUAAAAAAAAAAAAAUGUAUAUGAUAAAAAAUGAAAAGUAUGUUAAUAUAAUUAAUUAUAUAUUGAACAAUAUAUAUGUAGAAGAAGACUUGUUAUCUUUACAAUUUAUGAAUCAAACGUUGGAUACACAUAAACAGAUACAGAGAGGAGGGGCAUGUGACAGAGACACAUUGUGUUUUUAAGCAGUUUUCUUGUUUUUAAGUGGUUUUCUUGUUUUUAAGUGGUUUUCUUGUUUUUAAAUGGUUUUCUUGUUUUUAAAUGGUUUUCUUGGGUUUGAGCAGUUUUGUUUGGUUUUUAAGCAGUUUGGUUGUCUGUGUAUAUGGAAUAGUAUAAUGUUGAAUAUUUUUAUGUAAAUAAGGAAGAGCAAAAAAAAAAAAAAAAAAAAUAACAAUAACAAUAAUAACAAUAAUAACAAUAAUAACAAUAAUAACAAUAAUAAUAAUAAUAAUAAUAAUAAUAAUAAUAAUAAUAUUAAUGAUGGCAAUCACAUUAGCAAUAACAAUAAAGUUACAAAACAGCUAUUACA
rnacentral:lncRNA from 1 species